UACGUAGGGGGCAAGCGUUGUCCGGAAUCAUUGGGCGUAAAGAGCGUGUAGGCGGCCCGGUCAGUCCGCCGUGAAAGUCCAGGGCUCAACCCUGGAAUGCCGGUGGAUACUGCCGGGCUGGAGUCCGGAAGAGUCGAGUGGAAUUCCUGGUGUAGCGGUGAAAUGCGCAGAUAUCAGGAGGAACACCAAUGGCGAAGGCAGCUCGCUGGGACGGUACUGACGCUGAGACGCGAAAGCGUGGGGAGCAAACAGG
rnacentral:rRNA from 1 species